rnacentral:rRNA from 1 species
ACGGGGGGAGCAAGCGUUGUUCGGAUUUACUGGGCGUAAAGGGCGCGUAGGCGGCCACCGCAAGUCGACUGUGAAAUCUCCGGGCUUAACCCGGAAAGGUCAGCCGAUACUGCGGGGCUAGAGUGCAGAAGGGGCAACUGGAAUUCUCGGUGUAGCGGUGAAAUGCGUAGAUAUCGGGAGGAACACCUGAGGCGAAGGCGGGCUACUGGGCCAACACUGACGCUCAUGCACGAAAGCGUGGGGAGCAAACAGGA